rnacentral:rRNA from 1 species
UGGGGGAUAUUGGACAAUGGGGGGAACCCUGAUCCAGCGACGCCGCGUGAGUGAAGAAGUAUUUCGGUAUGUAAAGCUCUAUCAGCAGGGAAGAAAGAAAUGACAGUACCUGACUAAGAAGCCCCGGCUAACUACGUGCCAGCAGCCGCGGUAAUACGUAGGGGGCAAGCGUUAUCCGGAUUUACUGGGUGUAAAGGGAGCGUAGACGGUUAUGUAAGUCUGGAGUGAAAGCCCGGGGCCCAACCCCGGGACUGCUUUGGAAACUGUGUAACUAGAGUACAGGAGGGGCAGGCGGAAUUCCUGGUGUAGCGGUGAAAUGCGUAGAUAUCAGGAGGAACACCGGCGGCGAAGGCGGCCUGCUGGACUGAAACUGACGUUGAGGCUCGAAAGCGUGGGGAGCAAACAGGAUUAGAUCCC